rnacentral:lncRNA from 1 species
GUGUCGACUAUUGCGAGACAUAACUCAGCUAACCAAGGAAAUUCGGUGGCACUAACUGAGGUGUUCAAGCACAAUAGCAUUGAUAAUGCACUGCAAAGUGUUGUUGGACACAAGAGAAAGGUGCAUGAUCUAACACCAAAGGAGAAUAUAGGACGUGAAGAUACACAUUCUAGGGCAAAGAAGAUUGGGAAGGCCAGACCCGAUUCUCCAUAUGCUAACUUCACCAAUAGCCAACUGUUAACAACUUCCCGGUCCAAAUGCAUGGACAGGUUUUGGUGUAAUCCAUUCUCAGGUUGUGUUUUUCCUCAUUGCAAAAACAUGCGAGCCUCACAGGAUGACAGGGGCAAGCCACUCAGUAGAUCAAUGAUAUUUAUUGUCUCAUAAAUCAUAAAUAUACCAUUGAUUGUGAUAGCAUAUCUUACAAACUUAAUUACCAUUGAGAUGAUUUGUGAACCACUUAAUGUGCGAUUGAAUUGGAAUUGGGAAUUAUUGUUCUAUAUUGUUUUU